GUAGGUGGCAAGCGUUAUCCGGAAUCAUUGGGCGUAAAGGGUGCGUAGGUGGCGUACUAAGUCUGUAGUAAAAGGCAAUGGCUCAACCAUUGUAAGCUAUGGAAACUGGUAUGCUGGAGUGCAGAAGAGGGCGAUGGAAUUCCAUGUGUAGCGGUAAAAUGCGUAGAUAUAUGGAGGAACACCAGUGGCGAAGGCGGUCGCCUGGUCUGUAACUGACACUGAGGCACGAAAGCGUGGGGAGCAAAUAGGAUUAGAUACCCUAGUAGUCCACGCCGUAAACGAUGAGAACUAAGUGUUGGAGGAAUUCAGUGCUGCAGUUAACGCAAUAAGUUCUCCGCCUGGGGAGUAUGCACGCAAGUGUGAAACUCAAAGGAAUUG
rnacentral:rRNA from 1 species